GCAGUUGGCCAGAUGCCGAACCACCACCAGGGGUGGUUGGCAAACUGCAGCCACCCAAGGGGCUGGAGUAGUUUUCAAACAGCACCACAUUAUCCCAGGAGGAAAAGCAGACGCGUGACAGAGUCAGAGAGCAGGCAUAGAGUGCUGUGGCAGUCAGCCAGUGCCCACAUCAACACCAAGGAGAGUCCUGCGGGUGCUGUGCAAGGCCGGGG
rnacentral:lncRNA from 10 species